rnacentral:rRNA from 1 species
AUGGUGUUGCUUGACAUUAGGGGUAUGUUGCAGUACAUGGGCAAAGACAUAGUUAAUUUCGAUCUUCCGAGCAUCGACAAUACGUUCGACCCAACCGGGGCCGAGGCUAGAGAGGUGAUCGAGGAAUCCCCCGUCGAGUAUGACGUGAACGACAGUAAAUUGGCAUCACCACUGAACUUCGAGUAGAGGGUUGCGUAUGAUGAGAUACUAGCGGUAGUUGACCGCGAUGAUGGGGGUAUAUUCUUUUUUGAUGGGCCAGGGGGUACAGGAAAGACCUUCCUAUACAGGGCACUGGCCAAGGUUCGGAGCGAGGGCAACAUCGCUAUCGCUACCGCAAUGUCGGGCAUCGCCACUUCUAUCAUGCCUGGAGGCAGGACUGCCCACUCGAGGUUCAAGAUCCUGUUGAGCUGCGAUGAUGGUGCCUCAUGCAGCUUCACCAAGCAGAGUGGGACCGCCAAGAUGCUAAGGAUGGCCUCAUUGAUACUAUGGGACGAGGCCACCAUAACUAAGCGACUGGCAGUCGACGCACUGGACAACAACAUGCAUGACAUCAUGGGAAGACGGGACCGACCCUUUGGAGGAAAUGAUGUAGUUUUUGGCGGAGGCUUCAGGAAGGUGCUUCCGGUCGUCAGGAGGGGGUCUCCAGGUUAG